AGCGAACGCUGGCGGCAGGCUUAACACAUGCAAGUCGAGCGGGCAUCCUUGUGGUGUCAGCGGCAGACGGGUGAGUAACGCGUGGGAACGUGCCCUUCGGUUCGGAAUAACUCAGGGAAACUUGAGCUAAUACCGGAUACGUGCGAGAGCAGAAAGGUUUAUCUGCCGAAGGAUCGGCCCGCGUCUGAUUAGCUAGUUGGUGAGGUUAUGGCUCACCAAGGCGACGAUCAGUAGCUGGCCUGAGAGGAUGAUCAGCCACACUGGGACUGAGACACGGCCCAGACUCCUACGGGAGGAAGCAGUGGGGAAUAUUGGAAAAUGGGGGCAACCCUGAUCCAGCCAUGCCGCGUGAGUGAUGACGGCCUUAGGGUUGUAAAGCUCUUUUCUCCGGGACGAUAAUGACGGUACCGGAGGAAUAAGCCCCGGCUAACUUCGUG
rnacentral:rRNA from 1 species